CCGGCGUAGUGCGCCUGCGCGGACGUCGAUGGGUUUGUGGGCGCAGGGCGCGAGGCGCGAGGCGGUAGCUGGGCUAGUCCUGUUCCCUGGCGUCUGGGCCUUUCUGCUCUCCGCAAGGAGCUGGGUCGCGACCUGUCACUGCCAGCCGUGCGCUCGCCCUCUGCGCCCCGUCUCGUGGUCACUGCCGCCCUCCCUCCCGCCACACCUGUGAUGAUCGCUAUGGAGCCGCGCCUCAGGUGGCAUUACUAUAAACCUAAGAGGAGAGGCGCCCGUUCGAAUAAGGGCAAAUUAUUUAGUAUUUUGUAAGUUCCAAAGUUCCAACAUUCUUGAAAGGGAAAAGCCAUUUACUGUAUUUGAUAGGCUGGCGCCACUGGCCAGAUGAAAGUGCAAAUGUCUUCAAUGUUCCUGGCAGCUUAAAGUACCAACUGGGACACUUGUCACUAGUUUGAGAAGUGCAGCCAUAGUGACCUCUUUUGAAAGAUGAAUCAAUGAAUUAAGUCAUUUCUGAGAAACCAAGGAGGCCUGUUGAAGGAGGCUGGCCCUCCUGUGGCAGGUAACCCAACCUCCACUGCCCUUGGCAACAGGACAAGGCUAAUAUUUUCCCAAGAAGGGCCUUUUCAUGGAAUGAUCUUUCCAACCCGUUGACUACAACAAGCUGCCGCUCAGUCUUUUUUCCAUAGAGAGGACGUUUUUCCCCCAGAACAAGCAGGUCUUUUGUACCAGAAGGAAAAGAUUGCCACUCACCACUUGUUACUUUAUAGCCUUCGAAGCCCAACCCCAGGUGCUAGCUUUGAAACCCAACUUUGCCACAGACCAGCAUGUUGAUGGAGAGGCUCUCACCCACAAGCAUGGAGUGGGAGGGUGAUUUCCUGGGAGAAAGAAAGCCACUUUCUUUUUGGAAGCCAACGAAUGCCAAGUAGAUGCCACCAAAGCCAGUGAUGGCUUGUGAAAGCCCAGUGUCCUGGGACAGGAAAGACAAGGGGAUCCCAGCCAAGUCUGACUGCAAUGAGGCCAAACGUUGCCCCAGAGCAAGACUUCAUCUCCCUUUUCCUGACAAACCAUUGAUGGCUGCGUUUCACAUUAACCUAGAUUAAAAGUCUCCUUGAAAUGUAUAAUUGUAAUUAAUUAUUGGUUCAUUUGUUUGUCUCACCCCCACCCCCAGAAUGUUACUUAAUGGUAUGGAGGGAUUACCUUUAUCUUUGUAUCAUCAGAGAUCAAUAAAUGCAUGCUGAAUAAAUAAGUGUGAAAUAAAUU
rnacentral:lncRNA from 1 species